rnacentral:rRNA from 1 species
AUUGAACGCUGGCGGCAGGCCUAACACAUGCAAGUCGAACGAGUGGCGGACGGGUGAGUAAUGUCUGGGAAACUGCCUGAUGGAGGGGGAUAACUACUGGAAAAGGUAGAUAAUACCGCAUACCAUGAGAUGUGCCGAGAGGGGUUUAGCUAGUUGGUGGGGUAACGGCUCACCAAGGCGACGAUCCCUAGCUGGUCUGAGAGGAUGACCGGCCACACUGGAACUGAGACACGGUCCAGACUCCUACGGGAGGCAGCAGUGGGGAAUAUUGCACAAUGGGCGCAAGCCUGAUGCAGCCAUGCCGCGUGUAUGAAGAAGGCCUUCGGGUUGUAAAGUACUGUCAGCGGGGAGGCGUUACCCGCAGAAGAAGCACCGGCUAACUCCGUGCCAGCAGCCGCGGUAAUAC